rnacentral:lncRNA from 1 species
AUUAAUAAAUGAACUAGUAGAUAUGGAAAAUUGAUAUAUAUGUCGGAGAAUGUCAUUAGUACGGACACUAAAUGUCACGCAAGCGCGCCCUCUGGUGGCGUUUCCGGUGAAACAACAUUUUGGCGCGCUUGGCGGAGUCGUGGCGGUCAGCGUGGCGUCCGCGGAGCUCAGUCUUGAUCGAGUCUUGGUCGAGUCGUCGAGCUGCGCACAUCUCAAAACUGCCUAUCGUUACGUGUAGUGUACCUAGUGUUAUUGCCUAGCGUUGUAGUACCUAAACCAAGUGUCUUAUGAUUUUUGUAUUGUAACGGUUCUUCUAACCUAACAGACAGACGUGUUGCUGGGGAGUUUGUUCCGCCACUUCUUCUCCCCAGCCAAAACACAUAGGAAGUGGCGAAGGGCGGGCGUUUUGGGGGCUAUCUUUUGUUCAGACUAAUUUGAAUAAACGUUUGCAUUUUGAGUUCGUUUGAAUUUUGAGUUUGUUUUAUUAUCUUAGUACGAAUACCCUAACUGAUGUCGGACGAUAGUGCCAUCCUGAUGACGCCUCCGACAUCAGAAGUGGGAUGUAAUCUGAAUGCCCACAGUGUCACGUCUUCAAAAUGUGAACGUGUUCAAAGAUUGUAGUGGUGAAAUUGCAACGCCAGAUACGAUACUGCUAUCACAUUGAAUCGAUCCAGGUAAGCACUAGGAAGAAUCCUAGGUGGUUAUUCGGUGGAAUGGUUAUUUGGGUGUGCCUGUCAGACGCCGGAUAGAGGUUGUCUUGAAGGGCAAGUCGACUAUCAGACUCCGGGUAGAGGAUGUCUUGAGUCGCAGAUGUCAGACGCCGGAUAGAGGUUGUCUUGAAGGGCAAGUCGACUAUCAGACUCCGGGUAGAGGAUGUCUUGAGUCGCAGAUGUCAGACGCCGGAUAGAGGUUGUCUUGAAAUGGUGACUAUCAGACUCCGGAUAGAGGAUGUCUUGAGUCAUCGGUAUCAGACGCCGGAGGGAGGUUGUCUUGACGGAAAUUGUUGAAUUGAGAUUAGUUUUUGACUUUUGUUAGUAAGGUUUGCUAGUGUGUAUUUAACGAUGUAAGUGGACUUUGAAUCAUUUGGUUAAAAAAAAAAUGGAACGUUGAUAAUUUCAAAUGGAGGUUGUAGUAGAAGAUUUAUUAAGAAUUUCAGCGAAGGUACAAGUAUGGUAACCACGGUUAUGGUAAUGGUAUCGUUUUCCAUUGUUACAUGUCAAGCUAGUUUUAUUGAGGGUAUGCUAGAAAAUUAACCGAAUUUGUCUUUUUUUUCAUUUUUCAACAAUGACGGUCGUUAUUGUGCAAUAUGGCGACAAAAUUACUGCGAAGCAUCCCAGCUGCCAGGAGCCUGACGUGUCAUCGUGAGUUCGGAGUGUUGGUGCUCGUGCAUCCACGUGGCUUCACGUUCGCGAAAGUCGCUGUACUGCGCGCUAUAGCGAUGUGCGCAUCGUAACGCACGUUGAGUGGAAACCCGGUGAGACCGAUCCAUUUUUGGUUUAUUUUUGUGAUUUGUCAUACGACACUAAUAACCUUGAGAGGCAGUCUGUCUCGUUGUUAAGUGGUGGUUAUGAACCGCUUAGUUAAAGGGAGCAUUCAUUGCCACAAGCUUCCUUAUAAAGCUGCUGUUAGAUUUGUUUUGAUCCGAAUGUGUCAAAGAGCUGACAUAAUGUUGACGUGACCUUCAUGUAUUGCAUGGUUGGGAAAAUCGUCAGUCAGUGAAAUUAGAUUUAUGCCAUGAUAGUAAUAUUGUCAUAGUUGUUAUGAAAAUGUUGUGAUAAAAUUAACCGAUUUCCGAUUUCUUUUGCAUGUGAUAAUCCCGUGAGCCUCUCCUGCUUCGAGUGAAAGGAGUCUAGUCUGCUAGUUCGUCGCUGUGGUAUCCGCGAGCGCGACGCCUGGCUUCUACUGCACGCCGGAUUUCAGCAAAAACAUACACGAGACGCUAUGCACAAAGAUGUUAAGAGACUAAUGAAUGAUAAACCUGGUGAGAUCAAUCCAAUUUUAUUAUAGCUUGUCAUUGUACAAAAAUAGAACAGUAUACUGUUUGACUGACUCGUUGGCCUAGUGGUCGCAAGCGUGACUGCUAUACACGAGGUCUUGGGUUCGAUUCCCGGGUCGGAACGAAAUCGCUUUGUGAGUUUCAGAAACUUUCACAAAGCAGCCCUUAGUCUGGAUGUUGGUGAUUGAUUCACUCGUGCAUCGGAGAGCACGUAAAUGUGUGUAUGCUUGUGUAUUGCGCUUCAAUCACAGGGUUGAUUGACUGUUAAGUUGGAAGUCACAGAGAUGACUGCCGUUGAACACUUGUCACAGGGAUUACCUGGUUUCUGUUUGUCAAUUAAAACCUCGUAUUAGAAUAUUUCAGUUUUGCGUCAUUUGAUUGAAUUGUGCAUCAGACUAGAGAUUUUUGGUAAGGUGUUACGUUCACCUAACUAACCUAAAUUUCGUUGUGUUAAGCUGUACCUAUGAUGGGUAUCGGGGUGACCUGGAAGAGACUCGUUGGCCUGUGUGACGGCAUCGAGGUGACCAGGAAGAGACCUGUAUACAUCAGUGGUACAGUUGGUGUCAUAUCACUGUGGUUGUGGUUGUAGUCCCUAGGAGGCCAGGAUGGGCGGUGAGCUCGGCUAAGGGACACAGCGGUCAUGUGAAGCCUUGCGAGUAGGCGUUGAUGUGAAUGACAACCUUAGCUGUAAUGAUUUAAUAAUUUACAAGUUGAGUCUGACUAGCAAUUCGAUCUUUCUUUGAUUUCGUGCUUAGAAUUUAAUGUAACUAGUUUCUUCAUUUAAAUGAUGAUUGCUAUUCUUAAAACCCAUAAUAUGUGUUUGGGUCUUACCAUCGUGGAGGUUUGUUGCUGACCCAUAUGUUGUCAAUAUUUGAUCGGUUGCCUAAGCACUUUCCAUUUCUGAGUUAACAGAUAACAUCUAAGGUGAACCGAGCCUGGAGAACAGGACGAAGUUUACUAGUCGAGCGGUGGGCGAGGUGCGCUGCAGUUGUUGUUUGGAGCGUCGUCCUCCCCCGGAUUUGUCGUGGAGGCCGUAUGAGUUGCGACAGGCCAGGACAUCACAUGUCAUCACACAAGGUGAAAGCAUUCUAUUUCAUUGAAAAUGUUUAAAUUGACCAGACAAACUUCACGAUAACCAAUUAAAAAAUGUUGUAACUUUGAAUUAUUGAGUUGGUCCAUAGUCGUGACUGAUUUUGAGGAAUGAUUUGUUUUAAUUUAUCAGUCUGAAGUUUAUUGUCUCUUGUAAGAGGCAGUAAUCGGUUUUACUUUGAGUUUCCUAAUUUGAUUCUGAAUUAUUGUAAUGAAACGAUUAUUUUCUCUCUUUUCAUUGAUCAUUUUCCAAUUAAAUGUAGAGUUUGUUUUGUUACUUGUGAGAGUUUAGUACUCGGUUGCUCAGGGCUUUUAAGAACUAGUUGUCACCUAGAUUGUUUGUUAAAGACCUCAUUGAGGCCAUCUGAAGUUUGUUUAAUUUCCUUGUGAGAAGUAAGAGAGUAAAACAGAGAUCGAAAGUUACUGUUGUGGUCAGGAGUGGCCGAGGCUGUACUGUGCAUACUGUGCUGUGUUUGUGUUGUUGCAGAUUAAACGACCACGAGGACGUGGUCGACGCAGGAUGGCCGUGUCGGAGAAUGUCAUUAGUACGGACACUAAACGUCACGCAAGCGCGCCCUCUGGUGGCGUUUCCGGUGAAACAACAUUUUGGCGCGCUUGGCGGAGUCGUGGCGGUCAGCGUGGCGUCCGCGGAGCUCAGUCUUGAUCGAGUCUUGGUCGAGUCGUCGAGCUGCGCACAUCUCAAAACUGCCUAUCGUUACGUGUAGUGUACCUAGUGUUAUUGCCUAGCGUUGUAGUACCUAAACCAAGUGUCUUAUGAUUUUUGUAUUGUAACGGUUCUUCUAACCUAACAGACAGACGUGUUGCUGGGGAGUUUGUUCCGCCACUUCUUCUCCCCAGCCAAAACACAUAGGAAGUGGCGAAGGGCGGGCGUUUUGGGGGCUAUCUUUUGUUCAGACUAAUUUGAAUAAACGUUUGCAUUUUGAGUUCGUUUGAAU